UUUUGCGUCGGAUAAAAUACGGAAAGAAAGGUAUGCUCAAAAUAUCAAAUGAACUCAUUCCAUAGUCUCAAACUUCGACACAAUCAUACACUCAAUAUAGCAUGCUCAGUAUCAUAUGGUUGUAUUAUAGAAUACGAAAAAAACAUCUUUCCAGAGGUAGAAACUACGGCUGCGAUACAAGUGAGGUAAAAGAUGCGGCGGCAAAAGCGGAAUCAUUCUAUGAACUUUCGAACAAUAGUUCAUAUCCAGAACAUGAAUGAAGAAAGCCUAGCAUUUCUAAAUAAGCAAUACACUUAGUUUUGUAGUUGACGGUAGACGGUCACCUCCGAUCGAAUGGAAGCUGCGUUCAAACUCAGCACUCCAAGUUGGUCGAGAAAGUGAGAGCAUGGCAUUCCAAGUUUCUCAGAUUGAGCUGCAUAAACAUAGAAAUGGCGAAAAAGAUAAUCACCGGCAAAUGCUGAAAAUUUUGUAAAAUAUCGGUAAAGAAUUCAAAAUGGCAAGUUCAUCAUCACCGUACCAGCAUUGUAGACCCAUCUCAAAGAUUAGAAGACCUCAGAGGAAUAGAGAUUUUAAUUAUCAGCUAUCAACCUAAAUCUCCUACUAACAAUGGAGAUGCUCGCCAUAUAUAUAUAUAUCUAUAUAUAUAUAUAUAUAUAUA
rnacentral:lncRNA from 1 species